UACGAAGGCAGCAGUGGGGAAUCUUGCGCAAUGGGCGAAAGCCUGACGCAGCCAUGCCGCGUGAAUGAUGAAGGUCUUAGGAUUGUAAAAUUCUUUCACCGGGGACGAUAAUGACGGUACCCGGAGAAGAAGCCCCGGCUAACUUCGUGCCAGCAGCCGCGGUAAUACGAAGGGGCUAGCGUUGCUCGGAAUUACUGGGCGUAAAGGGCGCGUAGGCGGAUCGUUAAGUCAGAGGUGAAAUCCCAGGGCUCAACCCUGGAACUGCCUUUGAUACUGGCGAUCUUGAGUAUGAGAGAGGUAUGUGGAACUCCGAGUGUAGAGGUGAAAUUCGUAGAUAUUCGGAAGAACACCAGUGGCGAAGGCGACAUACUGGCUCAUUACUGACGCUGAGGCGCGAAAGCGUGGGGAGCAAACAGGGAUUAGAUACC
rnacentral:rRNA from 1 species